GGGCGGAGGGGGGCAUCUGUGAUGUGGUUUUGAGAACAUUUUGGUUUUUCAUUGUGUUUCCGCCUCUGAAUUCCAAUAGUGCCUUCUUUGUACUUCUCUUACAUCAUCUUACUUGGGAAAGAGCAGAGGGUUCAGCCUUGGGAACCCUGGGUUCAGGAGAGGUUUGUGCUUCCUUACUGAUGGUUGUCCUUGGCACAGUCCCUGCGUGGUGCCAGCUCAGGACUCUCCCUGACGAAACAGGGACAAUGAGAAUCUUCUUAUCUCACAGCAUUUUUCUAAGAACCAAGCAAGAUCAUAACUGAGGAAAUUCUUGUCAAGACACAAGGCAACUUGCAAAUAUUGAUUGUUACGGUGGCAUUUCAUUUCAUACUUGGUGUUAGAUAUUCCUGAUAGACUCUUCACACCUUGAAAGCAGAGCCCUACGAUAAUCUUUUUUCUGUAUCAUUCAUGGCAUGGAGAGACAACUUAGCAAAGGAAUGCCUGGCCGUCCUGCUGGAGGGGCUGUUGAGAAUGCAGCGAACACAUUCUGCGUAGGUGACCACGUUGGCAUCUCACCUGAUUAUGAGACCCUAGUGCUGACUGUGAGGAGUGGCAGCCCAGAAACACCUGUGGGAAAGUCAUUGAAGACGAAACAGAACUGGGAGGGAGCAGAAUCUGUCUCAACACUUCCUGCCAAGCUUUCAUCCCCUCUACCCUCUGUGACUCAAUUAUCUCAUAAGAAGAACCGAAGGGACACGUUAGAGACCCUUCAGAAAAAAGGAG
rnacentral:lncRNA from 1 species